GAACUUAGCAUAUCAAUAAGCGGAGGAAAAGAAACCAACAGGGAUUGCCCUAGUAACGGCGAGUGAAGCGGCAACAGCUCAAAUUUGAAAUCUGGCGUCUUUGGCGUCCGAGUUGUAAUUUGCAGAGGGCGCUUUGGCAUUGGCAGCGGUCCAAGUUCCUUGGAACAGGACGUCACAGAGGGUGAGAAUCCCGUACGUGGUCGCUAGCCUUUACCGUGUAAAGCCCCUUCGACGAGUCGAGUUGUUUGGGAAUGCAGCUCUAAAUGGGAGGUAAAUUUCUUCUAAAGCUAAAUACUGGCCAGAGACCGAUAGCGCACAAGUAGAGUGAUCGAAAGAUGAAAAGCACUUUGGAAAGAGAGUUAAAAAGCACGUGAAAUUGUUGAAAGGGAAGCGCUUGCAGCCAGACUUGCCUGUAGUUGCUCAUCCGGGUUUCUACCCGGUGCACUCUUCUACGGGCAGGCCAGCAUCAGUUUGGGCGGUUGGAUAAAGGUCUCUGUCAUGUACCUCCUUUCGGGGAGAUCUUAUAGGGGAGACGACAUGCAACCAGCCUGGACUGAGGUCCGCGCAUCUGCUAGGAUGCUGGCGUAAUGGCUGUAAGCGGCCCGUCUGAAACACGACCAUGGAGUGUAACAUCUAUGCGAGUGUUUGG
rnacentral:rRNA from 1 species